rnacentral:lncRNA from 1 species
GGCCGGUCUUGAACUUGUGACGUCAGGUGAUGCACCCGCCUUGGCCUCCCAAAGUGCUGGGAUUACAGGUCCAGAUUUUGAACAAAUCUCGCUAGAGAUUGAACAGAGCUGCGCCUGGAUCCCGCCACAGUGAGGAGACCUGAAGACCAGAGAAAACACAGCAAGUAGGCCCUUUAAACUACUCACCUGUGUUGUCUUCUAAUUUAUUCUGUUUUAUUUUGUUUCCAUCAUUUUAAGGGGUUAAAAUCAUCUUGUUCAGACCUCAGCAUAUAAAAUGACCCAUCUGUAGACCUCAGGCUCCAACCAUACCCCAAGAGUUGUCUGGUUUUGUUUAAAUUACUGCCAGGUUUCAGCUGCAGAUAUCCCUGGAAGGAAUAUUCCAGAUUCCCUGAGUAGUUUCCAGGUUAAAAUCCUAUAGGCUUCUUCUGUUUUGA